rnacentral:rRNA from 1 species
GUGGGGAAUUUUGGACAAUGGGCGCAAGCCUGAUCCAGCCAUUCCGCGUGCAGGAUGAAGGCCUUCGGGUUGUAAACUGCUUUUGUACGGAACGAAAAGCCUCUGGUUAAUACCCGGGGGUCAUGACGGUACUGUAAGAAUAAGCACCGGCUAACUACGUGCCAGCAGCCGCGGUAAUACGUAGGGUGCGAGCGUUAAUCGGAAUUACUGGGCGUAAAGCGUGCGCAGGCGGUGAUGUAAGACAGUUGUGAAAUCCCCGGGCUCAACCUGGGAACUGCAUCUGUGACUGCAUUGCUGGAGUGCGGCAGAGGGGGAUGGAAUUCCGCGUGUAGCAGUGAAAUGCGUAGAUAUGCGGAGGAACACCGAUGGCGAAGGCAAUCCCCUGGGCCUGCACUGACGCUCAUGCACGAAAGCGUGGGGAGCAAACAGGAUUAGAAACCCUUGUAGUCC